CAGCAGCCGCGGGAAUACGAAGGGUGCAAGCGUUAAUCGGAAUUACUGGGCGUAAAGCGUGCGUAGGCGGUUUGUUAAGUCUGUUGUGAAAUCCCCGGGCUCAACCUGGGAAUGGCAAUGGAUACUGGCAAGCUAGAGUGUGUCAGAGGAUGGUGGAAUUCCCGGUGUAGCGGUGAAAUGCGUAGAGAUCGGGAGGAACAUCAGUGGCGAAGGCGGCCAUCUGGGACAACACUGACGCUGAGGCACGAAAGCGUGGGGAGCAAACAGGAUUAGAGACCCGAGUAGUCCCUGUCUCUUAUAC
rnacentral:rRNA from 1 species